rnacentral:tRNA from 1 species
GGAGGGGUAUCGAAGUGGUCAUAACGGGGCUGACUCGAAAUCAGUUUGGGCGAAAGCCCACAUGGGUUCGAAUCCCAUCCCCUCCGCCA